CUGGAGGACUGAUGGAGAUGGCGGAGGUGUCUCGGCACUGACACGCGCCUGGCAGCUCUAUCUCAAAUCUUCCUGUCGACCUUCUAUCUGGAAUAUUUUUGUCUGGUACUGAAAGCUGCUCAUUGCGAAAUGGAAUACAAUCAGUGAAACACAACAUGUUUAUACCAAGUUCCUGCCCAAAAGGAUGACACUUACCUAAUUAACAGUUCCAUUGUUUAAGAAUUUUAUAAAAGGGAAAAUUUGG